AGAGAAAGUCUCGAUAUAGGUUCAUCGUUUUGCCCGAAUUAGGGCAAGGGGAUUUCAUCAAAUGAAAUCCUAGUUUCCAAAUCAUUUUUCUCUAAAAGUUUUCUCGUCUCCACUCUUCUCUCCUUGGUUCCUAGAAAAUAAUAAGAUUCACUUACGGUGGUGUCUAUUGUUCAUUGUAGAAUCGUUCUAGAGAAGAUGACGAGGAAAUCGUGAAGAGUACAAGAAUCGAUAAAGAUUCACCAUUCAUUAUGUUCAUGAUUAACCAAGAUGUUGGGUCAAGAGUAGUGUGGAUGUACUGUUUAUGCUCCUAAACUGUUUGAUGAAAUGCCUCACAAAGCCCUGGAGUUACAACUCAAGAAUAGACAGUUGGCAAGGAUUUCAAUGAUGAAGAAGAAACGUUCAUUCUUUGGAUGCUUCAGACUUUGUACACAGUGAAAUCUAAGUGUUUCAGGUGAUUAGGAACAAUAGUGUGGUCACAAUUGAAGCACUUGAACAUAUUGUAGUGGUCACCACCACUACAUGUUGUAGUGGUGGUAGAUUUGUUGGUAUUUGGUAUAAGUCUUGCCGAUUUAUUUCAUAGAUGAAGUUUACACUUUCAUAAUUGUGGCAUUGGAGGUAGGGAAGACAUAUAUUUUGUAUAAAUGUUUUGUUCUUUAGAAUAAAUUGACAUAGUUCAUCA